rnacentral:rRNA from 1 species
AGAGUUUGAUCAUGGCUCAGGAUGAACGCUAGCUACAGGCUUAACACAUGCAAGUCGAGGGGAAACGACAUCGAAAGCUUGCUUUUGUAUGGGCGUCGACCGGCGCACGGGUGAGUAACGCGUACUCCAACCUGCCCACCACUUGGGGAUAACCUUGCGAAAGUAAGACUAAUACCCAAUGAUAUCUCUAGAAGACAUCUGAAAGAGAUUAAAGAUUCAUCGGUGAUGGAUGGGGAUGCGUCUGAUUAGCUUGUUGGCGGGGUAACGGCCCACCAAGGCAACGAUCAGUAGGGGUUCUGAGAGGAAGGUCCCCCACAUUGGAACUGAGACACGGUCCAAACUCCUACGGGAGGCAGCA